AUGCCGGCGAUGCCGCUUGACUCAUCCCGUCUGCGCGUUGGCAUUUCAGAGAAUAGAUUGUUUUCGCUUUGGAAGUGCUCGACCCUUGACGGAAGGUCCCCCUCUGCAGCAGCCCGGUUCAUGGCACUCAACUGGGCCGUCCGACAGCGUGCUCCGAUGGGACUGUGUGUCACUCUAACCCUGCUCAUCACCGUCACGCCAAUAUGGACGGCUGCUGGGUCACUCUGCAGCACGAAGGUGGAUUCCCUGGACUUAGGAUGCCUCCUGCGGUGGGAUUGUCCCGGAGCCAGCCCUAAUGCCGCCUACACGGUGCAGACCAAGACACAGGGGGAUCCCUGGAAGGACGUGGCGUGGUGCGUGUGGAUCUCCUCUCAGAGCUGCGACCUCUCCCAGGCUUUCUUCCACUUUGACCUGUACAACAUGAUCCGUCUGGGCCUCCGUGAUGACGUCACCGACGGCUCUCCCACCACCACGGCCUGGAGCGAGCCGGUGAAGUUCGACUACAGCGACUUCGCGUUCAGCGCUCCGUCCGUCUCCCUGUACCUGGACGGCGAUCGGUUGAGCGUGCGGGUGCAGUUUCCCUGUGCGGCCAACAGGAGGUGCUCUCGAGGGAUCUGCUGCCCUCUCUCCGAAUUAAUCAACCCCUGGACCUCAGUGACUGUGUACAACCAAUUGAAUCCCUCCGACUACAAGAGGCGCACGGUCUGGAGCCAGGAGGUGGAAUCGGACGUGCAGUUCUCUGGCCUGGUGCCCGGGCAGCACUACUGUGCGGUGGCCAACUUCUCCUUCCCCUCCUACACCAUCGCCGCCUCCCCCCCGUCCGCCCCGCGCUGCGUCUUCACGGACCCCCCAGCAGGGCUGCAGCCGUUGCUGGUGGGAGUGUCACUGUGCUUCGUUGUCAUGGCGCCCAUCCUCAUCCUGUUUCUGCUCAACUCCAAGAGACAAGCUGCCACGGCCUCACCGGAGAACCUGCCCAAGGCUCAGGUAUCGGCUCAAGGUACCCUGACUCACACGCCACUGCCAUCCUCUCUUCCCAAUGAUCCCUGUGACCUGGACCCAUGUGACCUGGACACAUGUAACUUCGAGCCACGUGACCUCGACUCACGUGACCUCGACCCUCGUGACCUCGAGCCAUGUGACCUUGACCUAUGUGACGUCCACUUGGAGCUCAUCGACUGCGAUGGACUCAUCUGAGUGUAAUGUGCUGCAUCGGAUGAAGCCUAGCCUAUACUAAUGUACUAACAGUGUUAGUAAUUCAACAGGAACCCAGUGUCAAAAUCCAACCUGCGCAAGAGCACACCCUCUGGUGAAACAUGGCUUACAGCAGUUUCCGAUCUGCCUAAUUGGUUAUCAGGGGAUGCCACUGUGAUUUACAAUCUAUGUUAAUUGAUGUGGGUUUGAAUUCAGCCUUCAGUUUCUUUUUAUGAGAGGCAUCAGUGACCAAACACCCGGAUUUGAAGGUUACUUACAAAUAAUGGUGCCAAAGACAGGAUACUGAAGGAAAGGCUUCAAACAACGUGGUCUGUCUUCUCUUUGAAAGACGAUCAAUCGUAAAUAAUCAAGAAAUCAUCACACAAAACGCGCAGAGAGAGACUGAGGAUUUUUUUUCCUCAGUCAAGAUGUGAUACCGGUCCACUUGACAAUCCCCCACCCCUCCCCCUGCACUUUGACACUUUGACCCUGGCCAUGUUGCACAAUACAUCUCCUUGUCCAGUUUUAAUUUUACAUAUAUUUAUAAUAUUCUUAAUUGCUGUUAAAAAGUAUUUUGCAUUUCAUCUUAUUUUUAUUCUAUUGUAUUUGAUUUUUUUUUUUAAGCACAGAUGAUACAGAGUAUAUGUCACACAAACAUUUCACUGCAUAUUCUGUAUGUGUAUGUGACAAAUAAAAACCUUUGAAUCUUGAAUAGUUGAAUCUGAUAGUGUGGGAACUAAAACGGUUUCGAGCAGACAAUUCAAGAGACUGACUGAAGACUG
ensembl:lncRNA